CCUACGGGAGGCAGCAGUGAGGAAUAUUGGUCAAUGGGAGGAAUCCUGAACCAGCCAUGCCGCGUGCAGGACGACGGCUCUACGAGUUGUAAACCUCUUUUGUACCGGGGUAAAAUGCUCUACGAGUAGGGUUUUGAAAGUACGGUACGAAUAAGGAUCGGCUAACUCCGUGCCAGCAGCCGCGGUAAUACGGAGGAUCCGGGCGUUAUCCGGAUUUAUUGGGUUUAAAGGGUGCGUAGGUUGUUUUAUAAGUUAGCGGUGAAAUACCGAGGCUCAACAUCGGGGCUGCCGCUGAUACUGUAGGCCUAGAGUGCGGAUGAAGUAGGCGGAAUGUGUGGUGUAGCGGUGAAAUGCAUAGAUAUUACGCAGAACACCGAUUGCGAAGGCAGCUUGCUGGGCCGGAUCUGACACUGAUGCACGAAAGCGUGGGGAUCGAACAGGAUUAGAUACCCGAGUAGUC
rnacentral:rRNA from 1 species